rnacentral:rRNA from 1 species
GACGAACGCUGGCGGCGUGCUUAACACAUGCAAGUCGAACGAAGUGGCGAACGGGUGAGUAACGCGUAAUCCACCUGCCCUUCAGAGGGGGACAACAGUUGGAAACGACUGCUAAUACCGCAUACUGAAGGAGGGGAUUGCGUCUGAUUAGCUAGUUGGCGGGGUAACGGCCCAACAAGGCGAUGAUCAGUAGCCGGUCUGGGAGGAUGAACGGCCAAAGUGGGACUGAGACACGGCCCAGACUCCUACGGGAGGCAGCAAGGGGGAAUCUUCCGCAAUGGACGAAAGGCUGACGGAGCAACGCCGCGGGAGAGAUGACGGGCUUCGGGUUGGAAAGCUCUGUUAAUCGGGACGCGGUACCGGAAUAGAAAGCCACGGCUAACUACGUGCCAGCAGCCGCGGUAAUAC